UCCCUGUAUUCUAAAAAUCCUAAUUAUCUCCACGAUGACGGUAGUAUACAAAACCUUCAAGUGUACGCUUAUAACAAGUCGAAGGACUUCAAUCAUCCGGAUGUGACGUACCUUAUGACCGGACGUGACGUAUACUCACUGGUCAACGGCAAUGUUUCCGUCAGUAUUUUGGGACUCGGCUUCGUGUCCAGCGUCUGCACAAAAUCGUCCGUGGCUCUCGGUGAAGACAGACCUGGAUUUUACACGGGCGUGCACACUCUCGCGCACGAACUCGGUCACGUAAUGGGGGCUGAGCACGACGGGCAAGCGUCUAAGACUUCCGGACACCCGGGUGCCUUGCAAUGCCCGUUUGCAGUGGGAAAUAUCAUGAGCCACGUCGACAAAGGUCCCAGCCGCCACCACUUUUCAUGGUGCAGUUUAAGGCAG